UUAUAGUUCUUUUUAAUUUUUUGCUUCGCCUGCCAAAACCCUUUUUUCCUUCGCUUGCCUCCCUUUUUCUUUCAUCACCUCUGGCAACGCUUGAAGCUCCCUGCUCCCCAUAUUUCAUCACCACUCUAGUAAGAUUCUCUAUGCUUGUUUUAGGGCUUCUUGCCAUUAUUUUGAUGAAGAAGUAGUGUUUUCUUUAGUUAAUUUGAUUUUAUGUUGAGGUUGUUGUCUUUAAAUUUGAAUGGGUUGUGUUUUAAUUGAGGUGUUGAUUUUGAUUUUGAUUAAUUUGGUCAAUUGUCUUGUUUAAAACCAUUAUUUGUUGUUCGCCAAGUUUUUUUAUUUUGUGCAAUAAUUUUAGUCAAUACGUAGAAAUGCACAAGCACAUAUAUCUUCAUUCUUUGUCGUUCGCCAAGAUUUAAAUCUUUGUUUUAUUAGCUUAACCUCAGAAACUAAUGAUUUUGCUUUAAAUCUUUGUUUAAUUAGCUUUUAAUAUUUUAAGAGUUGGAUUCACUCUAAAGAAAGACAUAUCUUUCUAUACAGAUAUGUCACAUUAUUCCAAGUUUUUGAUCAUUUAAUCACUUAACAACUAUUUGUUAUUCAAAUUGUUUUCAAGAAGAACAAAUAAUUAAUGGAACUGUUAAACAAAAAGUAAUAAAUGUAGUUAACCUCUUCAUAAUGUCCUCAUUUGUGUAUAUUUCUUAAUUUUUCUUUUCUGUUUAUACUUCAAAUUUGUGCAUUAACUAUUUGUCUUGACGAAGGGAAUGCAACUCCUAGAGGUCAAUAAGAGGUUGAAAGCAAAGUUGGAGGAGAUGCAGAUGAUUGAGAAGCUAGAAUGGAGGUUUAUGGAGAAUUACAAAUGAUCAUCUAUUGAGAGAAUACCCUUUGCUGUAGAGACUUUGAGCUUGUCUCUUCGAAAAAUUGCUGAUUUUGUCAUAGUGCCGCACUUUGGUCGUUUCUUCAUAAUGAUCGCACUCCAAUUUUUGGAAAUAAAAGGCUUACUUAACUAGUUCUCAUGAAGUUGUGGCUGGAAACUAUUUCAAACAUUGAGUUGGAACAAUGUGACUAUUUUGAUAAUUAUAUGAUCUUAGCUUAUUUUUGUCUAUAUUUGUAAAUUUAA